rnacentral:rRNA from 1 species
UACGGGGGGGGCAAGCGUUGUUCGGAAUUACUGGGCGUAAAGGGCGCGUAGGCGGCUUUCUAAGUCGGACGUGAAAUCCCUCGGCUUAACCGAGGAACUGCGUCCGAGACUGAAAGGCUUGAAUCCGGGAGAGGGAUGUGGAAUUCCAGGUGUAGCGGUGAAAUGCGUAGAUAUCUGGAGGAACACCGGUGGCGAAGGCGGCGUUCUGGACUGCAACUGACACUGAGAAACGAAAGCCAGGGUAGCAAACGGG